rnacentral:rRNA from 1 species
AUUGAACGCUGGCGGCAUGCCUUACACAUGCAAGUCGAACGGUAACGCGGGGCAACCUGGCGACGAGUGGCGAACGGGUGAGUAAUGCAUCGGAACGUGCCCAGUAGUGGGGGAUAGCCCGGCGAAAGCCGGAUUAAUACCGCAUACGACCUACGGGUGAAAGCGGGGGACCGUAAGGCCUCGCGCUAUUGGAGCGGCCGAUGUCAGAUUAGGUUGGUGGUGGGGUAAAAGCCUACCAAGCCGACGAUCUGUAGCUGGUCUGAGAGGACGACCAGCCACACUGGGACAGAGACACGGCCCAGACUCCUACGGGAGGCAGCAGUGGGGAAUUUUGGACAAUGGGGGCAACACUGAUCCAGCCAUGCCGCGUGCGGGAAGAAGGCCUUCGGGUUGUAAACCGCUUUUGUCAGGGAAGAAACGCUCUGGGCUAAUACCCCGGGGUAAUGACGGUACCUGAAGAAUAAGCACCGGCUAACUACGUGCCAGCCGCCGCAGUAAAAC